CGAGUUAGUCGGUCCUAAGUUCAGGCGUGGCGGAUCUUUUCAAGUGCGUAAAAAUGCCGAACUAUAGAAACAUCGCGUGUAUUAUACACUUGAAUAAUUUUGUUUAGUUGGAAUACGGUUCCAAUUCCGCAACCUGUUGAGUCUCCGUUUGCCAUAAAAUUUGGGCCUCGUGCUCAUCCUGGCAACAGGAACGACCAUAAAGAAGCCGUCAAGAGAUAUCGGAAGAGUUUUCUUUUCUGUUUUAUAGCCGUACUACCAUGGAAGUCUUUCGCAGAGAGAUAUGGUAGAUGGGCUAGAAGAGCAUGACAUAUACUGUUGUGUCGAUAUUUUCUCCUCGGACCUUGAAAAUUUAUGGUGGGGACACGCAAACUUCUCAACAGGCCGUACCAGAUAUCCGCAGCUGGUCUCCAAGGUGAAGAGUCUCUAGUCGAUAGAAUAAUGUAGGUAAGGGAAGUCGGCUAAUUAGAUCCGUAACUUCGGGAUAAGGAUUGGCUCUGAAGAUUGACAUAGUCGGGCUUGAUUGGGAAACAAUAACCUGGUUUAUGUGCUCGUUCUGGGUAAAUAGAGUUUCUAGCAUUUAUGUUAGUUACUUGUUCCCCGGAUAGCUUAGUUACGUAGCCAAUUGUGGAACUUUCUUGCUAAAAUUUUUAAGAAUACUAUUUGGGUUAAACCAAUUAGUUCUUAUCAAUUAUAACGAUUAUCAAUUAACAAUCAAUUCAGAACUGGCACGGACUUGGGGAAUCCGACUGUCUAAUUAAAACAAAGCAUUGUGAUGGCCCUAGCGGGUGUUGACACAAUGUGAUUUCUGCCCAGUGCUCUGAAUGUCAAAGUGAAGAAAUUCAAGUAAGCGCGGGUCAACGGCGGGAGUAACUAUGACUCUCUUAAGGUAGCCAAAUGCCUCGUCAUCUAAUUAGUGACGCGCAUGAAUGGAUUAACGAGAUUCCUACUGUCCCUAUCUACUAUCUAGCGAAACCACAGCCAAGGGAACGGGCUUGGAAUAAUUAGCGGGGAAAGAAGACCCUUUUGAGCUUGACUCUAAUCUGGCAGUGUAAGGAGACAUAAGAGGUGUAGAAUAAGUGGGAGAUAUUAGACCUCGGUUUGGUAUCGUCAAUGAAAUACCACUACUCUUAUUGUUUCCUUACUUACUUGAUUAAAUGGAACGUGUAUCAUUUCCUAGCCAUUAUACGGAUAUAUUUAUUAUAUCUUAUGGUAUUGGGUUUUGAUGCAAGCUUUCUUGAUCAAAGUAUCACGAGUUUGUUAUAUAAUCGCAAACAAAUUCUUUAAUAAAACGAUGCAUUUAUGUAUUUUUGAUUUGAAAAUUUGGAUAACUCCAAUUACUCAGGUAUGAUCCAAUUCAAGGACAUUGCCAGGUAGGGAGUUGACUGGGUGCGGUACA
rnacentral:ncRNA from 1 species